rnacentral:lncRNA from 1 species
AAGAAGAAGAUGAUGAGAUAGAAAAAGAAGUGGUUGAGAGAAAAGAAAAAAAAGAGAAAAUAUGUGGAAAUAGAGAAGAAAGUAGGAGAAAAGAAAAAGAGAAAUUUGAGGGAGAAGGAAAGGAAGAAAAAGAGGAAGAGAGGAAUAAAGAAAAGAUCAUAUGAAAAACCCUUUCCUCAUCCAAAGAAGUAUCGUAGGAAGGAGAAGAAAUUUAAGUGGUUUAUGGAGAUCUUCAAGAAAUUGGAAAUUAAAGUUCCUAUGAUUGAGACAUGGAAACAGGUCCUUGGUUUUUAUCAAAUUCCUAAAGAGAUUCAGUAGAAAUAAGAAAAGAAAAGGAUACUAGGAAG